UCAGGCUACACUCUGGUUACCCGUGCUCUUCAAUCGGUAUGAAUUAAUACUCAAAUCACUCACUGUGAAGGGAAAUGUCUUGGUUUUUAUUUUUAGUAUAUUGUUAAGAUUAUUUAAAAUACCUCAUGGAGUAAGAACUCAGAUCUCAUUUCAAACUUGGCCUAGAAGUCGAUAUGGCUCGAGAUAUCUGAGAUAACAAAACAGAAACAAAACCAAAAAACGAAUCUGGCCACACCAUGGCAUUAGAGCACUUGGCAGCGAGAUUGAUUACACCAAUACCAAGUUCUCCUGUUUGAGUGUGCACCAGACAGUUUCCAUACUUUCUUCUGCUUCAGUAGUCCUGAGUGAUGCUCGCGCUGUAGUCGCUGGUAAUUGAAGCAGUGACUUGGGGAUUGGAAAGUGAAAGAAAACCACAGUUGCUCCGUAGAAAGCCCAUUCCCAGGUCUCGGAUUCGAACAGCAGUCACAGAGUCACAGGCAAAUUGCUAAGAGCUACGAAGUAACUUGAGGAUCCCGGCAUAUUCGUGUGUGAGUGUAAGGAUCGUCGACUUAGUUAAAAAUUCAGACAGGUGAAGGGUUCCGUAGCUCCUUCCCCUGCUGGCUCUUCUGCCCUCCUGCGUCCACAGAAACCCAUUCGCGAAGCCUCGCCAGGUUCCCACUCGCUCCUCCUCCCUGAGCGCCAGUACCGCACCCGGACCCCUCAGCUUUUCCAGCGAUCGCAGACCAGGCAGAGAGCGGCUCCAAGGCUCCAGUCCACAGCCCCACCCCAGCCCCAAACCAGGCCUUCACGCGUGAGUACCCUGGAUCUGCGAAGGCCUAGACCCGAAAACUCCCGCGGUUUCCUUCGCCGAGUCCUGUUGGGGGUCCCGGUCGCGCCGCUGUCGUCGUGGAGCCCCUGGCAGCUCGGUGAGUCCCCUGUGGUGUCUCAACGCUUAGGAGGAAGCGAGGGGCGCAUCACGUCUGCGAGACUAGUUAUCAUUGGAUCCUUAGUUACAGUUUCUUCCUAAAUAGAGUUAUUCCUGGCUGACAUCCGGAGUUUGUGUUGAAUCGCUGAGCAGUUUUUUCGUUUUUGUUUUGGUUUAUUUGUUUUGGUUUUGGUUUUGGUCUCCCUGUAACCCUGGCUGGCUUAGAACUCACCAUGCUGACCAGGUUAACUGAGAACCAGACAGCCUCCUCUUGGGCUUCUCCGCUGGCAUCAAAGCUUUGGGUGCGCCACCACGCCCCACCACUUCCUCAUCAUUCUCUUAAAAACAAUUCUAUGGAAGAGAACACAGAAUGGAGACAGAAGAGGCAAAAGAAAUGGAAAUAGAAAGGAAAAGCGAAGGAACGCAACCGGGGGUGCGGUGACAAGACCCUGUCUUUAAAAAGAAAGAAAACAAAAAUCUUAAAGGAAGAGUCCGGGAAACGCGGUCACAAACGUAGAGGCGGUUUCCACCUGCAGCUUCCCACUAUCCCGGAAAUCUACAUGGCUUCCCGCUAUGAGUGAGCUGGAGACCAAGACGCAGCAGCCCGCGCCCUUCUCCUCUGCGUUAGAUCCAGAAUCCCACCUCCUUCACCUCCACCUAAAUCCCUCCCGGCUGACCCGCGUCCAGGGUCUGAAAACCAAGAGAGUCUUCCUCCUGAGGUCCAUUCGCCUUGAUCUCACCCUGAGCACAGCCGCGGAGCAGGCUGACUGGAGCCCACGGUGAGAGGAGCGAUCCCAAUCCGUCCCUGGAGGUCUUCGGAUCGUGCGCGCUGUAGUGCUGGAGGUGACGGGGUGGGGGUGGGUGCUCCCUGUCAAACCGACAGUUUACCCACGAGGAACCCGAAACUCGGAGGGAGAGAUGUGUCAUCCUGGCGCACUUGGUGCGAAGGCCGGAGCGGAAUGGAUUCCGUAUGCGCUCCGCUGUCUGCUGGUUUCACCCGGGCAGUGGAUGGGAGAGAUGACGAUGGUGGGCUCCAUGCCUGGCCUGUCGGCUUUGGAAAGCGAGUCAAGUGUCCUCUGUGGAGUUUGCUUCAAGUGGUCGAUCGAGGGACUCAUAUGUCUCCCUGGUGGUCUAGUGGCUAGGAUUCGGCGCUUUCACCGCCGCGGCCCGGGUUCGAUUCCCGGUCAGGCAAAGUCCUUUUAGCAGCCUCUCUCCUCCCCCUGGUCUUCCUUUGGCCGACUUUUAAAUAGUCCUGUGAGGCACAAGAGCCCUCUCCUUGACUCACAAGACCCCAGAGACAGGGCUUCCAACAGGCAAGUUCUUCUGGGCUCUCCCAGAGAGUGGUCUUUGUUGAGUUUGAGAUAAAGGAGUUGAGAGAGGGGAAAUGGGUGACAUUAGUUCCAAUGUUCCUUUUCAAACAAAGAAGGAAAACAAAACCUCAGAAACAUACAGUGACUUUAUUCUUCCCAGAAACUCCCAAUUUAGCACCUUUCCACCUUGGAAUCUAUUCCAUUUUACCUAUUUACCCAUCAUUGGAGAGUAAUUCCCACACGCCAAGAUCUCUUGGUUGAGCUUUAGUGGCCCCUUUCCUUUAAGGCCAGGGGAUGGCUUUAUCCUCCUAGAGAAGCCCCUCUUGUCCCUCAGAACUCUACACUCACACUCUUAGAGAAGCUUCAGGUAGAAGUCACUUGGGUUUUCCUGUACAGUCCAGACCCUGCUUUUCCAGUGAAGCUCAAAAUAGCUAAAAAGUCAGGGUUUCUAUUGCUCUGAUGAAACACCAUGACCAAAGCAACUUGAGGAGGGAAAGGCUUUAUUCGGCUUACACUUCCACGUCAUAGUCUGUCCUUGAAGGAAGUCAGGGCUCAAACUGGGCAGGAACCUGGAGGCAGGAUCUGAUGCAGAGGCCACGGAGGGGUGCUGCACACUGGCUUGCUCCCCUGGCUUGAUCAGCGUGUUUUCUUAUAGAAUCCAGGACCGGCAGCCCAGAGAUGGCACCACCCACAAAGGACUGGACCCUCCUCCAUCAAUCACUAAUUAAGAAAAUGCCAUACAGGUUUGUCUACAACCCAAUCUUAUGGAAGCAUUUUCUUAAUUGAAGUUUCCUCCUCUCAGAUGACUAUAGCUUGUGUCAUUGACAUAAAAUUACCUAGCACAGAGGCUCUGAAGAUGAUUAUAAUUAGUUUGCCAUCCUAAUGGCAUCAGCUGCUCUCACACCCUGGUCUUUUUGGUGGCCUUUUGAUUUAGUGGCUACUGCUUCUGCCUCCUCCUCUUCCUCCUCCCUUUCUCUUUCUCGACAGUAUCCCAGACUCCCUGGCACUCAAUAUGUACCUGGGGAUGACUUUCAACCCCUAAUCCUAUUGCCUCUUACCUUCCAAGUGCUGGGGUUACAGGUGUGUGUUACUACACCCGACUCUGCACUGGAGUAUUGGGUCAAUCUUAACUCUACAUUAAUGUCACAGUUCGCAACUGCCCUCACCACCCAACUGAAUCACAGACGCGUGCACUCGGUGCCGCUGCUAACGCAACGGGGAGAAAUCACUACUGCAGAACUGGUGGUUCCGAAACCCCGGAAUCUAGCAGAGACCAGUUCCCGCUCGGUGCUUACCUAUGCCCAGCGUGGCGGGCAGCUUGCCUACGCGGGUCGGGAGAGCAGGGCAGGACCAGGCGAUUUGGAACUGAGGCUGAGCCAACAGCACCAGCACAACAAAGUUGUCGCUGGGCUCGUGGCUCGCCGUGAUCGUAUAGUGGUUAGUACUCUG
ensembl:lncRNA